rnacentral:rRNA from 1 species
AUUGAACGCUGGCGGCAGGCCUAACACAUGCAAGUCGAGCGAGCGGCGGACGGGUGAGAAAUGUAUGGGGACUGCCCGAUAGAGGGGGAUAACUACUGGAAACGGUAGUUAAUACCGCAUACUAUCGGAUAACCCAUAUGGGAUUAGCGAGUAGGUGAGGUAAUGGCUCACCUAGGCGACGAUCCCUAGCUGGUCUGAGAGGAUGAUCAGCCACACUGGGGCUGAGACUCGGCCCAGACUCCUACGGAGGCAGCAGUGGGUAAUAUUGCACAAUGGGCGCAAGCCUGCUGCAGCCAUGCCGCGUGUAUGAAGACGGCCCUCGGGUUGUAAAGUGCUUUCAGUCGGGAGUCGUUACCGACAGAAGAAGCACCGGCUAACUCCGUGCCAGCAGCCGCGGUAAUAC